UCCCUGGUGGCUCAGAUAGUAAAGAAUCUGCCUGCAAUGUGGGAGACCUGGGUUCAACUCCUGGCUUGGGAA
rnacentral:tRNA from 1 species